GCCGGAUCACGCUGGCGGGGCCUGGGCUCUGGCUUGGGGGGCUCCUCCCUGUGCUCGCGUAGGGCGCACCCCGGCGGUCCGAGAGGGUCCGAGGCCGCCGGGGGCGCAGGAAGAGGAGAGAACCCGCUGAGCGGCGGGGGCCACCCCGAGGAGAGCCGGGGCAGGCCGACCUCAGGGCGCCGAACCUGGGGCAGGACGGACGGAGUUCGGAGAGUUCUCCCUUCGAAACUCACCGCCUCUGAGCCUGUGCGGCCCGCGGCCCCGGGCCCGGCGCCCCGAGCCCGGCCGCGCGCCACCCGGUGCCCCACAGGUUCCUCGGCACCGCCCGGCGCCCCGCACGGUGGGACGAGCUCCGGGGGCCCCCCCAAAACUGCCCGCCGCGCGGGGGGGGGACGCGCCGGCAGCGCCGGGCCCGCUCCCGCCGCCAUGUGGCCGGAUGGCGCCCCGGAAAUCCGCCCCGACCGGAAAUGAUCUCCCCAAACAACGGUUCCGGCGGCGCAGUGGGAAACGGCCUGAGAAAAGGGGUGUUAGUGUCUCUGUUGCCGCACAGCAAAGACCGAGGGCCGGAAUUAUUCAUGCCCCGCGGCGGCUGAGGAAACCCAGGCCUUGACACUUAACACCUCACACGACGGCCAGCACACCUCAAGGUUGGAGAUCAUUCAGUUUGGGAUAGAACAACCCAGAAAAGGAUGCUGCCUUUUCUAGUAGAGAUGCCAGAGCCAAGCUCUGCAACUGACAUCUCUCAAGCUGGAUGUGGAAGAGCUGGGGAAAGAUUCCCGGCACACUGCUCACUGAAGACAUCAGUUUUAAGAAACAAUCAUCAAAACUAAAAGGCAGCCUAUGGAAUGGGAGAAAGACAUUUGCAAAUGACAUAUUUGGUGAAAGGUUAGUAUCCAAAAUCUAUAAAGAAUGUAUCAAACUCAACACCCAAAAAACAGAUAAUCCAGUGAAGAAAUGGGCAGAAGACAUGAAUAGGCACUUUUCCAAAGAAGACAUCCAGAUGGCUAACAGACACAUGAAAGAUGCUCAACAUCACGCAUCAUCAAGGAAAUACAAAUCAAAACCACACUGAGAUACCACCUCACACCUGUCAGAAUGACUAAAAUUAACAACUCAGGAAACAACAGGUGUUGGCAAGGAUGCGGAGAGAGGGAACCCUCUAACACUAUUGGUGGGAAUGCAAAUUGGUGCAGCUACUCUGGAAAACAGUAUGGAUGUUCCUCAAAAAAUUAAAAAUAGAGCUACCCUAUGACCUGGCAACUGCACUACUAGGUAUUUACCCAAAGAACACAGAAAUACAGAUGUGAAGGGGCACAUGCACCCCAAUAUUUAUAGCAGCAUUAUCAACAAUACCCAAGCUAUGGGGAGAGUCCGUAUACCCACUGGUGGAGGACGAGAAAAGAUUUGGUGUGUAUAUAUGUAUGUACAUACAUACAUAUAUACACACAACAGAAUAUUACUCAGCCAUCAAAAAAAAAAAAAAAAAGUGAGGGGCACCUCGAUGGCUCAACUGGCUAAGCAUCCGGCUCUUGAUUUCAGCUCAAGUCAUGAUCUCAUGGUUCAUGAGAUCAAGCCCCACUUGGGCUCUGUACUAUCAGCCCAGAGCUCGCUUGGGAUUCUCUCUCCCUCUCUCUGUCCCUCUCCGGC